CAUGUUCAAACUUUCACUACAAAUCUUGUCUCUGAUGGAGAAAUUCAAAUUUGCCCAAUUUCAUAUGAUGACUGACAGAAGUGUGAAAGUCUACAACAUUUCUGUUAAAGAUAAAAGAAUGGGUCAGUUUGCCCAGGUGACCAGUCAGCCUGAUCUCAACAAUGAUGAAGGGAGGACUGAAAUCAACUGUCCCAGCACAAAAGGACCAAAGACACAUGCUGCUAAAGUACUGCUGUUUGGAGGCACUGCUAAAAGAGGGCAGCGAAUGAAGAGAAGUGCAUCCCCAGAUGCCAAGACUUUACACAGUAUGGAGUUGUGCAGCUCAGUAACUAACAUUGGGCAAGUAUAAAAUCUCAAUUAGCCUACUAUUGAUUCCAAGAAAGAGAGAGUUGAUCAAAUUUCCUAGCAAUUAUUUACAGUCCUUAGGCUACAUCAAAAUGUAGUGGCUAGCCAGUGGGACAACAGAGAUUUAGAAGCCUAUAUAUUUCAACAGUGUGUUUUUUCCCCACAAUGCAUGUUAUGUUUAUUUUUUCUUUGUCUUUGAGACCAAGAAUCCAAGGCUUUCCCAGGCAGCAAAAGUCCAAGUUGCGGAGGACCUUAAGGCUGCUCUUAUUAAAGAAAGGGCCAUGAAAGUCGCACACCUUUUGGACAAAACAAACAUGGACUUGGCUGAGCAGGGAGGUCCACAAGGUGACAGAUACCUGGUAUAUUUCAUAACUUUGGUUUUGACAGGUCUAGGUCAAAGGUAAUCAUGGUAUGUCAAAGGCUAAUGAUGAAAUGCUUCAUUUGAAAAUCUUAAUGUGUGUUUAAUUUGUUUUGAAACUCAGAAGUGAAAAACAUGUAAGGGAAUGUGCCCCCACAUAUACAAACAUGAACACACAUUGACGAACACACACCCUCCCACAACACACCCCCAGCCUGCAUGUUAAAAACCAUAUGCUUAAUUGACCCCUGAGGCUUAAUGCCGCUAAUGUGUUUAAAUGAUUUAUGUUAAAAACAUGUGUAAGUGAGGGAAACAUGUAACUUCCAAUUGCCUGAGAUUCCCACCAUAAAUAUAUUGGGAAACACCCUAUAAAGGCUAAAUACUUACAAAGCUUUCGCAUUCUGGAAGUCCGCCAAGAGACUUCACAUCUUCGGAAAUCCAACAAAGGUUAAAGACCUUGGACUUCAACAGGUAAGAAGUUUCGUUUUUAAAUGUUUUAAUUUCAUUCCAUUUAUUUGUAUUAGAAUGUUUCAGUCAUUUUACAUUUUGAUGAUAACCUUUAGAAUAUUUUAACAUAUAUUCAGAACAUUGGUAAGUUCCAUCUACUUAACCAGUCAUUAUGUAUUCAGGUAUAGGUUUAUAGCUAAAGUUUAAUUUUCAAUCAAUUUUUAUUACAGAGCAGGACCAAACUAUGCUCAUCUGAUUCUAGUGUCUAACAAAACGUAACAAAUGAGCUCGAGCCAACUAGACAACAUUGUGAUUAAUUUUUGAUGAGUUUCCUGAAACGUCCACUCAAGGUCAUGUGAAUCCUAGAUCACUGGAACAUAAAUCAAUCUAUCCAAAGACCAAUAGCUGCCGUAGUACCACAGAUUAGAACAAUCCUGCAAACUACACAAGUUGAAGACACCUCAACUAUCAUUGCUGAAGAUUCAAAUGCUUCAGAGUGAUGCCAUAGAACAAG